CCUACGAGAGGCAGCAGUGAGGAAUAUUGGUCAAUGGACGAGAGUCUGAACCAGCAAAGUAGCGUGAAGGAUGACUGCCCUAUGGGUUGUACACUUCUUUUAUAUGGGAAUAAAAUGUUCCCCGUUUGGGAUUUUGUAUGUACCAUAUGACUAAGGAUCGGCUAACUCCGUGCCAGCAGCCGCGGUAAUACGGAGGAUCCGCGCGUUAGCCGGAUUUAUUGGGGUUAAAGGCAACGUAGGUGGAUUGUUAAGUCAGUUGUGAAAGUUUGCGGCUCAACCGUAAAAUUGCAGUUGAAACUGGCAGUCUUGAGUACAGGAGAGGUGGGCGGAAUGCGUGGUGUAGCGGUGAAAUGCUUAGAUAUCACGAAGAACUCCGAUUGCGGAGGCAGCUCACUGGACUGCAACUGACACUGAGGCUCGAAAGUGUGGGUAUCAAACAGGAUUAGAUACCCUGGUAGUC
rnacentral:rRNA from 1 species